GGGUGACGAGCGGCGGACGGGUGAGUAAUGUCUGGGAAACUGCCUGAUGGAGGGGGAUAACUACUGGAAACGGUAGCUAAUACCGCAUAACGUCGCAAGACCAAAGUGGGGGACCUUCGGGCCUCAUGCCAUCAGAUGUGCCCAGAUGGGAUUAGCUAGUAGGUGGGGUAAUGGCUCACCUAGGCGACGAUCCCUAGCUGGUCUGAGAGGAUGACCAGCCACACUGGAACUGAGACACGGUCCAGACUCCUACGGGAGGCAGCAGUGGGGAAUAUUGCACAAUGGGCGCAAGCCUGAUGCAGCCAUGCCGCGUGUAUGAAGAAGGCCUUCGGGUUGUAAAGUACUUUCAGCGAGGAGGAAGGCGUUAAGGUUAAUAACCUUAGCGAUUGACGUUACUCGCAGAAGAAGCACCGGCUAACUCCGUGCCAGCAGCCGCGGUAAUACGGAGGGUGCAAGCGUUAAUCGGAAUUACUGGGCGUAAAGCGCACGCAGGCGGUCUGUCAAGUCGGAUGUGAAAUCCCCGGGCUCAACCUGGGAACUGCAUUCGAAACUGGCAGGCUAGAGUCUUGUAGAGGGGGGUAGAAUUCCAGGUGUAGCGGUGAAAUGCGUAGAGAUCUGGAGGAAUACCGGUGGCGAAGGCGGCCCCCUGGACAAAGACUGAC
rnacentral:rRNA from 1 species